UGGUCAGUAGGUUGGUCGUGCCACCGGUACGUACUGGUCUCACUGAUUCCUCCUUCCUGAAGAACCGUAAUGCCAUUAAUUUGGUGUUGCGGGGAAACAGGACUGUUACUUUGAAAAAAUUAGAGUGUUUAAAGCAAGCUAACGCUUGAAUACGUUAGCAUGGAAUAAUGAAAUAGGACGAUCGAUCCUAUUUUGUUGGUUUCUAGGAUUGACGUA
rnacentral:rRNA from 1 species